AUCAAUAAAUCCCAAGAAUCAGGUGAAGACGAGGCUAGCAUCACGAUACUCCCCAAGUGUUCGAUAAAUUGCUUGGACCAGAAAAUCGCUACCGAUCUUGCGGCUUCGAGUCAGCUGCUGAAACGGUAAGCUGGUAAAUUAUUCAGAAUAGUUCGAUCGUUGAAUAAAUUAAUGUGCUAGUGCGAUACUCAUUAAGGUGCUCGAUAUAUUGCGUGAGUCACGAAACUCUCGUCGACUUCGCAGUUCUUGCGAUUAUCGAGCCAGAUUCAGCUAUGGCGAAUUAUUUCGCUAUUCUGGUCACUUAGCUGAAUUAGUGAACCGAGUAGAAUUUUAGUAGGCAUGUGUGAUGAUAAAAUAUUUUAAUCAUUUAUAAAGAUGUAGUAUAAUUUAUAAGGCAAGGGAUUAGUUUAGAAUUUAAUUAAUUAACUGAUAAAUUGUGAUUAGGCUAAUUGUAUUUCAUGUGUAUAGUUUGUUGUUCAUGAUGUUUGCGAUAAGUUCAAGAAGCGUAAUUAUUGCGCUUAAUUGUACGACGAUAAUUAGUAUCUCCGUAUGAAAUUGUUCAACGCCUCGCCUCUAGGAGUUAAUUCGCUAUCGCAUAGUACUAUUUAGGUUUGUAAUAUUCCUGUUUAUAUGCAUUCAUGUGCAUCGUGCAUCUCAAUUAGGUACGAUAAUUGAUCGCGUAAUGCGGAAGACGAGCCAAGUCGACCCCAAGCGCGGACUACUCUGCAUGGAGAUGCUGAUGAACGAACCUGCCUGAUCAAGUGCUAGGAUAAGGAUGAUCGUCAAGUGGUCGCCUAACAAACACUAACCUAGUGUUACUCAGGCAAGCCCCGGUGCAUGCAACCCCUUCCUUGUGUUUUUAAAUACUUUUCGCACACUUUAAGUCUAGUGAAAUGUGCAUUAGGUUUAUAUGAGUUGCUUGAAACCCUUUGAUGCAUUGCCUUCCUUGAUAUCCAUACCUGUUAUAGAUACUUCUUUGGAAGUAUCAAAAUUUGAUUUACAAAAAUGCUUAGCCCUGCUUAGAUCUUGUGGAUAGAGGUUGUCUUUUGCGUUAAGGCCUUGCUCAGGGGUUAUCCUGAGGAAAGAUGACUUCUACCUGCAAGAUUAUAUUUUCAUUGGGAGCAUGGUGGGAUCUUACUGCAAAGUUCCCUAUGAUGCUCUUUUCAUCCUAAGGAAAACAAACAAUCCUAAGGGUGGAAAUACUUAAAUCGGGACUUGGGUUAGGAACGGGUGAUGUUCUACCCAGGUUGAUUAAGGAUUGAACGUGUAUGUAGGUGUGCUGACCGCGUACCCUUUAACUGGUCACAUGCCUCGUCAUGGGUAAGCCUUGCCUCGGGCAGACUAAGGCCAGAAUAAGAUAACACGAAAUGGGCGUGGAGCGGUGGCGAGAGUAGCGUGUACCCUCCGUGGCAAGAGGCUGGACGGUGGUGUAUCUGUGCUCUCGGUUUGCGUGAACCUGAUCUGGUCUUAAGAACCCCGGUGGCGGGUUGACAUAUGCAAGGGUUAAGUGCUACAUAUGUCGUGUGAUUGGAGAUCCUCAGCUGAGUAUAAUCGAUUCGGAUCGCCGUACCUUCGCGGUUAUGAAGACGUGGUCACUUGUCUACAACCUAAGUCAGGAUGUGAACAUUAUGGAUAAAAAUAAUGUUGUAUUGAUGAGAUGAUGAAAUUAGACUAAAGGCAAACAGAGUCUAUUAAUACUUAAUCUGGCGUUAAAAUGUUGAAAGUAAGGACUCACUUUAGUAAGCUAUUUCUGCAAAAGUAUCUAAGUUGAUUUUUGCUAAAGCCUCUCCUUGAUUCCUAUUUAUCCAGCAUACCCUUGAGAGUCUUUUCCUUAGUCGGGUAAGACUUGCUGAGUAAUUCCAUACUCAGGGUUUUAUUCCCUGUUGUUUUUCAGGUUUUAACUUUGUGCUGUUGUUGAUGGUGUUAAGUGCCGGUGGGCUCGGCCUUCUUAUAAGUCUAAGUACUUCUUCUAUACUUCUUAUUGAGGAUGGUCACUUGAGCUAGCAUAUAUUUCAAACUUAUACUUUUGUAAUCACUCCGAUAAAAUAAUGUAAAUUUUUUUAUAACCUGUAAAAUUUGGUAAUAAGAUUUCCGCUGCAAAAAUGUUGUGUGUGUGAUUUGUGUUACUUAAUCCCGCGGUUCUGGUUAUAAGUGGUUUAUCCGAUGUCCUUGGGCAAUCGGACGGAUCCUGUUAAGUUAUCUGGUGCACAUGCAUAGGUGUCUGAGGUCUUUGAGACAAGGACAGGUGCAUGUGGGCCCAAUAACUUGGGAGGUUCUGCCACAGCUGGUAUCGGAGCAGGAUUAAGUAUAUACGGUCACAUACGUAUUUUAAAAACAAAGUUUUGGUUUUGAAAAACCUAUUUUCAACUAAACACAUUGUUUGGCUUUGAAAAACUAUAAUGCUAGCGACAUCCUCUGUUAAGCCCUAAAUUAAGGACUAUUAGGUGGCUUAUUUAAAAACCACUAACCCACAACCGGGGGUAUUGCAUACAUGUGUAUUGUUAUUUUUGAGGCCAUUCUGUUCUGAAUGGAUCGACGCUCAGGUAAGGUGAGAUGUGAGAGCAUGAUCGAACAAACGUCGGUCUAGGGAAGUGCUUAAUUGUAGCGCUUGAUUAUAUACAUGUUUUACAUAUGUAUAUAUGAAGGCUGCGAUGUGGAGUAUUUACUUUUCUGGGAAUUCAGUACCCCAUGGAUGUAUGGGUAUACAGAUGUGGGAAUACUGAGAAGUGUAAUGUACUCGUAACGACGCACCUACGCUCAGGUAAGAAGGUGAGUUACCAUAAUGAGUUGCCCUAUGGUUAAAGUGUGGCAACGACGCCUAUGCGUGGCUCGGCGCUUAAUGAUGAGCUGGCCUCCAUAUAGCAAUAUAUGGAGUAUAAACUGUGAUAAACUGUCAUGUGUGACUUGCAUCAUUGGGAAUUGGGCUGUGAUGGAUUUUUCUGCAGGUACACUAACCUCGAAAACGUAUGUGUAGCUGACGACUAGCAAAUUACCGUGAGAGUCGUAAGAAUGCCACCGAUAUAGAACGCUAUCGCCACAUUAUGUUGGCAAAAUCAGUGAGGACGAAUAAGACGAGCAUGCAUCCUGAUUGUUGCAUCAUGUUUGUCACCUAUACACCCAAAAUGCUUCUCUCAUCUUUAUUCCAGUAACCAUUGAUUGUAGAUAAUGUGGUGUAAUGCUGAAUUAUGAACUUCGAUGAAAUAGGUGUCCUCCAUUCCUUAGGUGACCUCUUAGGGUGUUUUAUGUGCUUGCUCUUGUGCUUGAUGUGCCGAUAGAAAGUUGGUAAUUGAUUGCCUAAACCCAAAACUAGGCCAUGUUCUUAUUUAGUAAACCAUGACCCAAAACUUAAAUUUUUUUCCGUUAUCACUCCAUGACCAAACACAUACAAAUAAAUGCUUAGAUAAUUUCUUCGUUGGACAAAAAGGGUACUUAAGCUUAAAAUAAGAAUCUCGACUCAUAUUUCCAUCUUAGACCAUGCCCUUGACAAUUGGUACAAGCUGAUGUACCUUAUCCAGUGUGCUGGUUCUUAAGGAUCGCCAUGUUGUUUUAUCAACCUAACCUAGGAAAGGUAUGUCCGACCAUUUUCUUGAGUUUGAUGCCUUUGGUUUCCCCAUACAUAUCGAAGGCAUACCAACUUAAUCCUUGACUUUGUAAUCUCUGUGAUGGGCAUAGAAAUAUGCUUGUGGCUGAAGUAUCGGUCUCCCAUCGUACUUCUCUCAUCAAGUUUAAGUUAUGGCCAUGUUUUGUUCAUUUCAUCGGGCCAUAAUCUAUUUGGUUCUCUACUUGUAACCAUUCUUACAGGUAGAGUCUCUUUGUAUAUUGUCACUCUUGCCUAAUCCAUUGGUGUCGCGCGAGAUUUCUUAUUGGUUAUGUCUGGUAAUGGUGCUAUGACUAAAACUGAUGGUGUCGUGAUGAAACCGAGGGCCUUCUGUGGGUGCGCACACAUGGUUGUGCUACUCGGCACGCGCUGGUAUCACAGUUAGUAGUUGUAAUCCAUUAUGAGACUAUGUCAAUGUGUUAUCUUGGCACAAUAUGUUUUUUUUGCUACGUGAGAUUGUUAUUGGUGCCAGUUCGGUAAUGGUGUCAUGGUUAAUGACUUAUGGUGCCGCAGCGAAACUGAGAGCCUCCUGUGAAUGCGCACACAGGACUGUGCUACUCGUCGGAUGCUGGUAUCAAGGUCUCUGGUCAUGAUCCAUUGUGGAACUACACUGAUGUGUUAUCUUCCGUAAACUACUUCCUUGAAACAAUUUCUAUGUUGUUUGUCAAGUGAUCAAGCAACAUCUAUCAUCUCUGUUGGAUCAAAAGGGCAUACCCCUUUAAUGUGUGGUCUCUUGUCCCUUUACUUUGAUGGUGACUACUUAUACAAGUUCCCUUUACAUCCUUUGUGUAAAGGUGAAGCCUUGGAGCUUUUUAGUGUCGAGAGACAACUGAUUAGCUCUCAAAAUGAAGAUUGAUUUUUCCCUCCUGUUGUGAUGCAGGAGUUUGUUCAUUCGCUCUCUUAUUUAAUCCAAUUAUUUCCUAACCAAGUGGAUAAUUCAUCUCACAUGAAGAAACGGAUGAACAACCUGACCAAAUGGAUUUCUGCCCAAGUGCAUGAUCAACUGUUAUUAUGAGUGAACUCUCAACCCUUGGCUUACCAAUGGUACUGAGAGGAUUUGCUUAAUGUCAAAAGUAGUUCAACAAGUUGGUUUUGACUAACUUGUAACUGCUCAAUGAACGAAGGCUGAGUUUAGAGAUCGUUUUAUUGAGUUGUCUAAACUCACUUUGGUUCAACCCACCCUAAAGAAAGUACUUACCAAAAUCAAAUUAAGUCGACCAGUAACCAUCUAAUUAUCGCUCUAGUUAUGCCUCGAUCGCCUCACGUGUGUUUUCCCAGCAUAUGCGAUCAAGUCGAGCCAUGCCUAGUGCUUGAUAAAAUGGACUGGUCGUAAAGUCCGUAUUUACAGAUCUCUUCACUGGUGAUUCUCUAGAAUCUAUACCAUCUUUCGUGGACUUGAAUUCUCGGGUUAGCCAUAUGUUAACCGCGCCAGUAUUCGACAUCCACAUCCGUCUCGUGUGUUACGAACUCACUGUGACCACUUGUUGGUAAACAUCUUUCUGUGUGUUAUACCCAAGAUGGUGCAUCUAAUUCUAUUUGGGUAAAAUCGCGUAUUUAUCAAUCGCCCAAUAGACUCAGAUAGUACAGUGUCAUCAGAAAAAGCAAGCUGCACACAUGGAACCCUAUGUGUUCAUCUGGCAGAUAUCGUCUCUAUUAUUGGACAUUUCUAAAUUAGCUUAAGGCAAUACAUGUUAUGUCCGCUAGAGAAACGACAUCCUGAGACACUCGCCUUCACUCAGAACUGCCUUAUGAUUAUCGCUGAUAUGGACAUGGGUUACAUGCUUCUCUACUCUUGAAAGUCUUUCGCUUCGAAUCUCGGGACGAGAUUCUUUUAAGGGGGGAGGGCUGUAACACCCCAGGUGUUUAUAUUCUGCUCGACAACGAGUAUAGAUUUAAGCACGUGAUAUCAGUGGAUAAAACGGAUUUUUAAUUUUAAUUAUCUUCAUUUAUCGCGAUUUUUAUAUCGCAUCUGUUUUGUCUGUCGCGAGUGCGACAUCAUUUUUAUUUUAUCUAUCUGGGCUCUUCCUAAAUUUUUGUGAUGUUCGGAACAUAAUUGUUCCAAAAAUCUGUGCGUCCGGUGAUUAAUUAAAAUUCAUCGCUCGCACGAAUACGAAUUUGGAAAUUCCUUCCAGUCCUCUGAUUUCAUCUCAAACAGAUUAUGUGAAACUCGACAACUAAGUUUUCAGUGUAAAAUAAUAUGUAUAGCCCCCGUGUCGUUUUGAUUUGAUCUAUUUGACUCUCGCCCCAAUCGUAACCCUAAAACUCGGAUUAGUUUUUUUCGACUCGUGCUGUACUAAUUAAGUCUAGUGUGAGACUAAUUAAAAUUAGAAUUAUUCGAAAACUUUAUGGUUUAGAUUCUAAUCAAGUUGAGUCGUGUUACUAAAAAUCAAAAUAGUGAUUGCUUUGGAAAUGCGUAUUAUGGAGAGAAAUUAUAUAGUAAUUAAAAAAAGAUAAAUCUUAUCGUUUUUCUUCUCGUCUAUUUCUCUGUUCUUAUCCAAAUGGUUUUUUUUUCUCUCUUGUCUUAUCCUGUGAAGAAGCACGUUUCUGGAGAAAAAUCCCCACAUCAACUUCCAGUAGCUCCUUCACGUUAUCUCCUGUACGUCAAUUCAAUGCAAAAAGAAAAAUCUUUCGAUCCUAUCUACAACCGCUGUUCUUCCAAAAAAAUCUAGGCCGCCUGGCUUAUCCCGUCGUUCCCUGCUCCGAUCUUUCCAGCGCCGCGCCUGGCUCGCCGGUGUUCCAGCUCCAGCCACCGCUCAACUCGAGUAUAAAAUCAAGCACGCGCGUCCUGAAUUCACUUGACGCAUCCCGGCCAGGCCCUUGCUCGACUGCUCGGCCGUCCAUCUCUCUCCUGCUCGGCCGCGCACUGGACCUUGCUCCAGCUCGCCGACCGGAGCUUCGCUCGUCCCCAUGGCGACUGCUCGGUCUGCGCGCUCGACGUCCAUCUCCAGCCAGCGCUCUCUCCAACCAAGGUCUUCUUCCCGUGCGCGCUAUCCUGCGCACGCACCGUGACCUGCUCGGCCUAAUCGUCCCCUUUACCGCUCCCUCAGCUCGCCCGAGCUCCUCCCCUGCUCGCCGUGCUAACCGUCUAUGUUGUCGCUGGACUUGUCUCCUCGACCAUCUUGGCGUUGUUAUUUCCUGCUGCUCCAUGACAUCGUCGAGCCAUUCUCAGUUGCUCGCCGUCGAAGCUCCCCUGUUGGCUGCGUCCUGCUCGCCUUUGCGUCGCGCGCAUAGCGUCUGUUGUUCUUGCGCGCGCGAAGCUCUUUGCUCGUCAAUGCUCCAGCCUGGAUUUCGCUUUGUCGCCCAGCUCGGCUCUACAUCUCCCAUGACUGUCUGCUCUAGCUCGCUGUAGUCCCUGCGCGCGUCGAGUUUUCGUGUGGAGCUCUCUGCUCACGCGUAGCUCGCUCUUUCUUUGUUGCCGCGCGCACGAAUUUUAUCUGCUCGUCACAGCGUGUCGAGUUCCCACACCAUCAUCGCCUCUGUCGCAAGCUUGCUAGCCACAAUUAUUUUAACCGCGUCAGCACGCGACUGAGGUCGUGUUUAUCGAAUUCGCCAACGAUUUUUUGCCGAUUCGACCGCCGUCGCUUCGCGUGUUGUCGAGCCCGUCGUUUUCCAUAUCUUGUACUCACGUGGUUUCCUGCUCGCCGGUGCGCCCUCUCGGCUCACUCGGUUUUAAUUCCCAAUUGCGUCGUCAAUUCCACCGGUUAGCGUCGUUCGUCAUCGCGUCGCGAAUACAGCUCUAUAUAUGUCACCCUCCUGAUCGUCGUCAUCCGUGUGUCAUCAAGAAAUCCCAAGAAUCAGGUGAAGACGAGGCUAGCAUCACGAUACUCCCCAAGUGUUCGAUAAAUUGCUUGGACCGGAAAAUCGCUACCGAUCUUGCGGCUUCGAGUCAGCUGCUGAAACGGUAAGCUGGUAAAUUAUUCAGAAUAGUUCGAUCGUUGAAUAAAUUAAUGUGCUAGUGCGAUACUCAUUAAGGUGCUCGAUAUAUUGCGUGAGUCACGAAACUCUCGUCGACUUCGCAGUUCUUGCGAUUAUCGAGCCAGAUUCAGCUAUGGCGAAUUAUUUCGCUAUUCUGGUCACUUAGCUGAAUUAGUGAACCGAGUAGAAUUUUAGUAGGCAUGUGUGAUGAUAAAAUAUUUUAAUCAUUUAUAAAGAUGUAGUAUAAUUUAUAAGGCAAGGGAUUAGUUCAGAAUUUAAUUAAUUAACUGAUAAAUUGUGAUUAGGCUAAUUGUAUUUCAUGUGUAUAGUUUGUUGUUCGUGAUGUUUGCGAUAAGUUCAAGAAGCGUAAUUAUUGCGCUUAAUUGUACGACGAUAAUUAGUAUCUCCGUAUGAAAUUGUUCAACGCCUCGCCGCUAGGAGUUAAUUCGCUAUCGCAUAGUACUAUUUAGGUUUGUAAUAUUCCUGUUUAUAUGCAUUCAUGUGCAUCGUGCAUCUCAAUUAG
rnacentral:lncRNA from 1 species